GCUCCUGUAGCUCAGUUGGAUAGAGCACAAGUUUCCUAAACUUGGGGUCGUAGGUUCGAUUCCUAUCAGGGGUACCA
rnacentral:tRNA from 1 species